rnacentral:lncRNA from 1 species
ACCCACGUUUUUGGGGUUUUUUUUUCCAAGAAUGCUAUCCAGAAUUCCUGUCCCCCUAUUCGAGUAGGGUGGCCUGUAGGGCCGAGGUGGACGGGGAAACUCAGACCGAGGGUAUACUGCGAGUGGGCAAGUUCCUUUCACUUUCCCCCUUUGCUCCGCAAUUUCGGGUGCAACUACCUGGACCAAGCCUCAAGGGUUCCACCACAGAACCUUUCAAGGGUUCAUAGACUGACCCUGUGCUCUGGAGAAAGCAACCGCCACGGGAAAACACUUCAACCUCAAAAUGGAUCUCAACGUCUCUUUUACCCUCAUCCUCCGUGCAGAGAUUCUCGAGAGGGCGGCAACACACCUCGCACCCUCCCUUCUUUCCAAGAGUUGUGCUUCCUCAGACCCGCUCCCGCUGGCUUUUCUCCCCUGCAUACUUCCCCUUUGCAAAAUUUCCGCCUUGAUCUUAAAUACCUUGAAAAGAUAGGAAGACUUGGAAUUCGAUUAAAACAAAACAAAACAGAA